ACGUCCACAUCAUGGGGAAUCACCGGUUCACAUACGAUCACUGAAGUAAGCAAUGUUGAACCUGAUCAGUACCUAAAUGGGUGACCACUUGGGAAUACCAGAUGGUUGGA